rnacentral:tRNA from 1 species
GUCCCCUUCGUCUAGUGGUCCAGGACGUCGCCCUCUCACGGCGGCAACAGGGGUUCGACUCCCCUAGGGGACGCCA